UACGUAGGGUCCGAGCGUUGUCCGGAAUUACUGGGCGUAAAGGGCUCGUAGGCGGCCAACUAAGUCAGACGUGAAAUCCCUCGGCUUAACCGGGGAACUGCAUCUGAUACUGGAUGGCUCGAGUCCGGAAGAGGGGGGCGGAAUUCCCAGUGUAGCGGUGAAAUGCGUAGAUAUUGGGAGGAACACCAGUGGCGAAGGCGGCUCACUGGCCCAUAACUGACGCUGAGGCACGAAAGCGUGGGGAGCAAACAGG
rnacentral:rRNA from 1 species